rnacentral:lncRNA from 1 species
CCAGCAUGUAACACAUCGCAUCCCUUUGCGGUCUCACGCACGGUUAACUCCACGGCUGCAGCCUUACCUUAGCCGGAACCGUUUGCGUCUUUUGACUCACGUAUGCAAUAGUGUCGCUAGCAUUCCAAUGUCAAAGAACCCGGAUUGACAAGUCUAAUCAUAAACCAAAGUGGCAGUACCGCACAAGGACAGGCAUACAUGACCCAACAAAGCAAGUGUCGGUCACCAACGAGUGUAGACGAGUCAUAACAAGCUACAAGGACUCCAUUACAUCGCGUGACAUUUCCCCAAAGAGGACAGACACAACAGCUAAGAAGGACACAUGUCGGUCAACCAAUGUGUCCGGAGCAGUAGCGAGCUACCAUGGCUCGUUGGAUCACAAAGGGGCAUUUCCCUGUAAGGAGUGCUACUAAAAUUCACGAUUUUCUGGCCGCCUCCUCCGAUCCCCGGCCACCGAGGCUUCGCUAGCUCCAGGCCGCGCGCCUCUUCCGGUCUCGGGAUCAAUGGCAGAGGGAGGCAAUGCGCGUAGAGGGCGGCGAG